rnacentral:rRNA from 1 species
GACAGAGGGGGCAAGCGUUGCUCGGAAUUACUGGGCGUAAAGGGCGCGUAGGCGGGAUGGCAAGUCGGUCGUGAAAUCCUUCGGCUCAACCGAAGAACGUCGAUCGAUACUGCUGUUCUUGAGGGUUGCAGAGGAGACUGGAAUUCCCGGUGUAGCGGUGAAAUGUGUAGAGAUCGGGAGGAACACCGGUGGCGAAGGCGGGUCGCUGGGCAAUUCCUGACGCUGAGUAGCGAAAGCGUGGGGAGCGAACAGG